GAGAUCUUCGCCUCGUCUGAUCUCCAGCCUCCCGCGGACUUCCUCCUGGCGCCCCUGGGAGACCACAACGCCACCAAGAGAGGCAUCUUCGACAAGUCGUGCAAGGGCGUCUUCGACCGGAAGAGCUACGUCGAGCUGAGCGGAUUUGCGACGACUGUUACAACCUCUACCGGAGGCCCUACGUCUCCAUCAACUGCAGGAGGAAAUGCUACAGGAACAUGGUCUUCCGAAAAUGCAUCCGGGACCUUCAGAUGGAGGAGAAGCUCCCCUACAUCGCCAGAAUCGUCCAGAUGUACGGGAAGUAGGUCUUCUACAGAGGAAUCGCCACCAUUCGUCAUCUUUACCAGCGCACCGUCGUAGCUAUAAACCUAUACGGAUGUCCCGGGCAACUCGAUGAUUAUCGAGUUCCUCAGUGGUCUUCGGAGACUGAAAGAUCAUCGAGUUCUUCAUGUUCUUCAGUGGUCUUUGGAGACUUUCGAAGAUCAUCGAGUUCCUCGGGUUCUUCAAUAGUCUUCGGAGACUUCGAAGAUCAUAGAGUUCUUGAGUGGUCUUUAGAGAAUUCGAAGAUUACCGAGCUCUUCGGUAGUUUUAGAAGGCUUCGAAGAUUAUAGAAUUCCACAGUGGUCUUCGGAGACUCCGAAGACCAUCGAGUUCUCCAGUGGUCUUCGGAGACUUCGAAGAUUAUCGAGUUCUUCAGUGGUCUUCAGAGACUGCGAAGAUCAUCGAGUCCUUCAGGUUCUUCAGUGGUCUUCGGAGACUUCGAAGAUCAUCGAGUUCUUCAGCGGUCUUUGGAGACUUCGAAGGUUAUCAAGUUCCUCAGUGGUCUUCGGAAACUUCGAAGUUUAUAGAAUUCUAUAGUGGUCUUCGGAAACUUCGAAGAUUAUCGAGUUCUUCAGUGGUCUUUGAAGACUUCGAAGAUUAUAGAAUUCCACAGUGGUCUUUGGAGACUUCGAAGAUUAUAGAAUUCCACAGUGGUCUUCGGAAACUUCGAGGAUUAUCGAGUUCCACAGUGGUCUUCGGAAACUUAGAAGAUUAUCAAGUUCCACAGUGGUCUUCGGAAGAUUCGAGAAUUAUCAAGUUCUUCAGUGGUCUUCGGAAACUUCGAAAAUUAUCGAUUUCUCCAGCGGUCUUUGGUGACUCCGGUCUGCGACGUUGGGACCUUUUUCCCUUUUUAUUUCUUACUUAAUUUCUAUGUAUCCACUUAAGUCUCGUUGUGACGGCUUCUCAAAUGAUCUAGACAACCGAAGGACUAAAGAUAUCUUAACCACGCUGCCUAAAUUGCUUUAAGUUCCAAAAUAAAGAAAAUAUUUUGAGAGUUUCAGACUUCUCUGUAACUGUGGAAGACUGUCAAAACAGCAAGAAAUUUCUUUAGACUCUUUUACACACAAACGGUCCACGGACAAUUUCGAAAACAUUUCUUCUCUAAUUUUGACCAGAUAUAACAGAAGGAGGUUUGACUAUUACUGCUGUGUAUGUCAGUUUUUCAUUCUGACAAAUUCUGAAUGCCCUGUUCAUUUGCUCAGAGGGAAGAUGCCUCAUGGAUCCUGUAGUAUAAAAGUCUGUCUCCACUCAGUCGGCCUUACUUCUGCCAGGAGUCGAGCAAAAGAUCGAUCACUGUAGAGUUUCAAAAUAUGCCUUCGUUUUCACCAACCAAUUUUUACUUUUUAUUAUUAAGAGAUCAAGAUCAUUUCGCAGGUCCCUUGAUCGCUUUUUUGUUUGUUGCCGCAAGAGAAGGGGUCACCACUUUGAUAACAGAUGUGACGACAAAAACAAUUCUACCAAAAUACUCUUGUAUUGGAUUUGAAGCCAAAGACUAUCUAUUGUGAUAUUUAUAAUACAGAGCAAAGCAUAAU